rnacentral:misc_RNA from 1 species
GUUUGAUAAAAAAAAUAUAUCAUCCAUCUCAGUAUGCAAUCAUGCACAAUUUGUAUUUCAAUUCCCAAAACCACGAUUAACAUCCACAUCUCAAUAACAUUGAAGCUACAUAUUUGGUUUCAUAUCAGUAACAGAAUUUGCAUUCUAAUUCCCAAAACCAAUAAUCACACAAGAAGAGAAAAAAAAAAGAUUACAAACUGGGGUAGAUUGUGCCUCGUAUAAAACCCCAUACUCCCUAACUUUAAGACUCUGGACAAAAUCAGAAUCUCAGUCAGCAAGAUUUCUGCUAACAGUAGCAUAUAAAAGAAUCUACAAACCUGCAGCUCAAACAACAAUGCAAUAACAAAUAAAAGAUUUCAAAUUUAACCCUUUUUUCCCAUUGCAGCUCAAACAAUAAUUUCAAAUAAGCCCAUGUUAGGGGAAAGAAAAAAAAAACAAUACCUUGCUUGCUUAGCAUAGGAACCACCAUUUGAACAGAAAAUCAACUAAUCUAAUUAACCUGUUAUUUACAAUUUAGAAAGCUCAAGACUUAAAAAAAUCCAAAAAAUAAAAUCAACUUUCAUUGGUUUUAUCACCCCAUAAUAGUAAUGAAUUCGAACUCAACUCUAUUUAAAAUCAAUAUUCUAUCAAAAAAAGCAAAAAUUCUUUUGAGAGCUUAUAAUCAAAAGCAGCAGUGUUAGUGUCAGAUCACAUGUAAUCAGCA